CGCGGGGUGGAGCAGUUGGCAGCUCGUCGGGCUCAUAACCCGAAGGUCGCAGGUUCAGUCCUGCCCCCGCAACCA
rnacentral:tRNA from 1 species